rnacentral:sRNA from 12 species
AGAUUUGGUCGUAGAGCGCGACCAAGUAAAACAAAAGAAAAGUUCACUGAGA